rnacentral:lncRNA from 1 species
GUCAAAGUAAAGUUAGUUACAUUCUCAAGUCAUGCCAACUCAUAGGGGCUGGUUCCCCAUUUCCAUGGCAUAUAAAUUCCUCACCAGGAUGAAACACCCGCCCCACCACAGGAUUACUCAUUUUUGCCAGCUGAGUGGACUGGAGCAAUGUGAAAUGAAGUGUUUUGCUCAAGAACACCCAAGAAUCGAAACCACGAUCUUACAAUCAUGAGUCCAACACCUUAACCACUAAGCCACAUGACUCCACCAAGGACCACUAACCUGUGAUAACCCUCAGCCUCAUCAAACAAGCACACGAAGUGAGUGAAGUAAAGCUUACCAUGCACAAUGAUAAAUAAGUGAUUUUUGUUUUUGUUUUUUAAUUUUCACCCUAGCUUCUAGUUGACCAAAGCCUUGCUAGUAAAAUUAAGGGAACUGCAAGAAUCCAUCAGAUGGGUCAUUUCUGUUCUUAUGUGGUAGAAUUGCACAGAUUAAAACUACUAUUUAGCUUCAGUGGAGUCUGUUUUAUUAUGAGUAUUUGAACCAGGCCUCCUGUCUGCAUAUUACUUCCUCGGUCUCAGUAAUGCCUGAUAAGAGUCACCAGAGCAGUCUUUAUCUUCUAAGACAUUAAAUCAACAAUAAGGAAAAAAAAUUGAACAAAUAAGACAAUGGAGUAUGAUUUGAGGAAGAUUUGGUUGCUAUUUCUAACAGAUUGGGUUUCUAGCUACAGGCUUCCUCAUUAGUUUUGAUGAUAUUAAGAAUAGAAAAGUGAAAUUACAUGCAUGCACAUGCACGCACACACAAACACACACAUGCUGAUAGUCGUUUAGAAUUAUCAUUACAGCUAACUUAACAAUUAAGUUGUUAACGAGCCAGCAAGGGACCAACUACAUAGUUACAUAGAAAAUCGACAUGCUAGAAAUAACAGCCAAAUCUUUAACAACAUCACAUCCAAGCAGUCAGUCGUUUAGAAUUAUCAUAACAGCUAACUUAACAAUUAAGUUGUUAACGAGCCAGCAAGGGACCAACUACAUAGUUACAUAGAAAAUCGACAUGCUAGAAAUAACAGCCAAAUCUUUAACAACAUCACAUCCAAGCAGUCAUCUUAAAUGACACUAUCCAUGGAACCCUUUACAUUGUCACUCAACAGGCUAGAAAGAGCAACCAAAUUUUGCAUGGAUCAUAUGCUACCAUGUUGAGAAAAGGAAGGACACUUUGGACAAUAUAGUCAUGACUGGAAAGCCUCUCCUCAUCGGACUACAGCAGAAACAUUGAGUAAGCUAUCUACUUUCACUUUUAAAUUAUCUUUCAUAACUUUUUCUUUUUUCUCUAACAAAGUGUCUUCAUGAGUUGCUACGGUAAUUAAAAAAUGAAAAAAAAUAGAGCAAACAACAUUCAGCAUAAUCACUCUGUUAACUAGAAAUGGCAGCCACAUCAUCCUAAACUUAUUCUUUAGUGUCACAACAAAAAAUGAUGCAGAAAGAAUCUGGAGUGUCAUGGCUGGAAUGUCUCUGGUCAUAUCGCUGUUUAGUUGGGGAUACCUGGGAAACUGAUAUUGGGUACAAAUAAUAUUGGGUACAAAAAAUAAAUAAAAGUACAUAGUAUCAAUUAAUUUAAUCUAUUAAAUAAUUUAAUACAUGUUGAAAGGAAGUUAUCUAAAACAAUAUGUAUUUCUCUGUGUAUAUGGUGUGUAUGUAUAUGAGAGAGGGAGAGGAGGAGAUGUGUGUAUGUAUGUGUAUGUGGGUGUGAGCAAGUGAACGCAUCAUGAAAAUGGGAGCACAUUCGUGAAUGAUAGAUUAGUUAGACUGUAUGUGUAUAUUUGUGUCAGUAUGUGUUGCAUGAUAUAUCGCAAUAUAUGUGUAUAUAUAUAUAUAUAUGUAUAAUGCAAAAAUGCAUGACUCCAUAACCAUACACACACACACACACACAUGCACACACAGUCACAUCAUUCUGUGUGUGUGUGUGUGUGUGUGCAUGUUCGUGUAUGUGUGUGUACAAUUUGCAUGCAUGAUCUCACCAAAACAUUUGCUUUCUUUAUUAUAUAUAUGUGUGUGUGUGUGCAUAUAUGUAUGUGUGUAUUUGUGUGUGUGUGUGUGUGUAUAUAUAUAUAUAUAUAUAUAUAUAUCUCACACAUAUACACACAUAAUACUCAUACAUAUGUAUAUAUAUAUAUAUAUAUAUAUAUCACAUAUACACAUUAUAUGUAUAUAUAUAUAUAUGUGUGUGUAUGUGUGUGUGUGUGAGAUAUAUAUAUAUAUACACACACACAAAUACACACAUACAUAUAUGCACACACACAAAUAUAUAAUAAAGAAUGCAACUGUUUUGGUGAGAUCAUGCAUGCAAAUUGUACACACACAUACACGAACACGCACACAGACACAUACACAUACACACACAGAAUGAUGUGACUGUGUGUGCAUGUGUGUGUGUAUGGUUAUGGUGUCAUGCAUUUUUGCAUAAAAGGUUGUGUGCACACACAUAUGUGUGUCUUCAUGCGUAAUAUGUCUGCAUUUGUAUGUAUUUACAUGUUUAUGUUUCCAUAUAUAUAUGUAUGCACGCUAGCUCGUUUGUGUAUGUAGGCAGGUCUGAGCGUAUGUAAAUGUAUAUUUAUAUACGUUUGAGUUUAUGUGGAUGUGUGUGUGUGUAUGAGUGUGCAUAUGUGCACGUGGAUAUGUGUUUUCAUGUUUUCAUAGACAAACAUGACUGUUACUGUGAAUAUGGGCCUGAUCGUAUAACUGAAAGGGGGUGUGUCAGUGUAUUUCAUGUGUCAGUAUUUGUGUAUGUGUAUGUGUGACAGUAUGUAUCCAUGUGUUUGUGUAUGUGUCAGUAAACUGGUCUUCAAAUGACGAGAAAGAAAUGAAGGCAGUGGACAUAGUUAAAUCUUUAUAUCCAUAAGCUGGAUGAAAUACGGAGGAUACAAAAUGUUUUCAAGCAUUACAAAGCCACUAUAAAUGUUAUCAGGUGUCCUUUAAUGCUCCUGAGAAAGGAAACUAAAAAUUGGAUUUGUCUACAGGUAAGUGUUCAUACUCUUGUAAUUUUUCCCUUUUUCAUAUUGGGUGGGGAAGCUUCUCAAGAAAAAAAGGAGAAAAAAUUGAAUAGAGAAAGCAUAUCAGGAACUCGUUAUAAAAAAAACUUAGAACUUCAAUUUUGUAUUUCUUUUACUGGAACAAAAAAUAAUGAUGAAAAUAAUCAGGAUUAUACUUUCUUUAUUUUUUUUCUCUUUUUCCAAUUAUUGGAAGAGUGAUUAAUAUUUCUUUGGAAAAACCAUCAGAAUCACAUAAAGAAAGAAAAAUAAAAACUGUUCUGUUAUGUAUUACAUCCAUUGAGAAUGAAACUCUAACAAUUAUGAAAAAAAUACUAAUUGGAUGUGCCUGUGUGUGUGUGUGUAUAUAUAUAUAUAUAUAUAUAUACACACACACACAUACACACAUAUAAACACACACAUACACAUAUACAGAUGUAAAUAUAAAUGAAAAAUUAUAUAGGAAUUAUAUGUGCAUUUACGUAUAUGUAUGCAUUUAUGUAUGUAUACAAUUUUAUAUGCAUCUCUGCAUGUAUAUGCAAUGUAUGUGUAAACAUGAAAUAUAUACACAAGCUUUAGAUAUAUAUAUAUAUAUGUAUAUAUAUAUAUACAUUUAUGAGUAUAUACACAUAUAUAUAUUUAAAUAUAUACAUAUAUGUACACAUAUAAAUCUAUGUAAGUACAUAGAUAUGUAAAUAUAUACAUACAUAUAUAUAUAUAUAUAUAUAUUAAUAUUUGCACAUAUUUAUAUAUAUAUACAUACACACAUAAACAUGUAUACAUACAGAUAACAUACGUAUGUAUAUAUAGAUAGAGAGACAGUUGACAACAUCAAUUUCUGGAUCAAACAGCUGACACCUAAGAUACAAAACUCCUACCUGUGGUUCUGUAACUCCUGUGGGUGUGAACGAUGUCGAUUCGGAGACAAACAUUGACACCUUUUACUAGAAUGUUGGUUUCCCAUGAUUUCUCAGCAUUUAUAGAUCCAGAAACAGAUUCGAUUCAGUGGAUUGAACAUAGACAGCGGAACAUAUUCAACAUUUAUCCAUAAAGCUUGCCUUUUUCAUUUAUGUAUCUAAACCAGUUACUAUAAUAAAACUGGUGUUUAUUCUUAGGGAUGUGUGGUGUGUCUGCAUACGCACACCAGAGCACAUGUACUGCGAACACAUGGGCAUGUGAGUGCAAACAUGCAUGUGAUAUCAUUUGGAAUGAACACGCACAAGAGAUAGGGUGGGAGGAGAUGGUAAAAUAAAUGAACACUGAUGUUUAAAGAAAGAAGGAAAGGAAAAAGAAAAAGAAAGGAAAAAAAGAACAAGAAAGAAUAAAAAUAUAUAUUGGAUGAUAGAAGUAGAUAACAAAAAAAUAAAGCAAAUUGGGGGAAAAAAAAAAAGAAGGAAUCUAAAUAAUAAUUAAAAAAAUUAAAUAAACAGAAGCUAAUUAUGUAUUUUGAUUUAAAAGUAAGAAAAUGCAAGAGAAGAGACACAAAAAAAUAUGAAUAUAAAAAAUUUGGGAAUAUGGAGAAUUGUUUCUAUUUUGUCAUAAAAACUUCCGAAAGAGUAAUUUUGUUUUUUAAAGGAACUUGUGCGAUGGAGAACCGAAUUAUUUAAGUGAUAAAAACUCAUAAGAUGUCUAGCAAUGAAGCUGUUGCUAUUCUAGUUGCUUUAAACUGUGUAUGUGUGUGUGUGUGUGUGCAUAUGUGUGUGUGCAUGUGUGUGUGUGUGUGUGUAUAUAUAUACAUACAUAUAUAUAUAUAUAUAUAUAUAUAUAUAUAUUUGAAUAUGUUUAUAUAUAUAUAUGUAUGUAUGUAUGUAUAUUUGUAUGUAUCUAUGUAUGUAUAUCUGUAGUUUUGAAAUUAUGCAAGAGUUUGCGUAUGUGUGUGCACAUCUGAGUGUGUGUGUGUGUGCGUAUGCAUGUGGUGGAAGCUGAUGCUAUGUUUGUUUUUGUUGUCAAAUAUAUACAUAAAUGUGCAUGUGUGUGUGUAUGUGUGUGCAUAUAAAUAUACACACACAUAUAUAUAUACCUAUAUAUAUAUAUAUAUAUAUAUAUAUAUAUAUAUAUAUAUAUAUAUUAUACAUACACACACACAUACAAUUCUGUCUCAGUGCAAUCGAGUCGUCCCCCCAACGCCAACUUCUACUGACUGCAAGUCAGAGCAAACACAUGCACAGAAAACAGUUUGAAUCACACAUGUUCCUGCUCGCCUCCUCCCACUCCUCUUCUUCAUAUUCUUCUUCCUCUCCUUCUCUCCUUCAUCUCAACUUCUUCCUCUUUCUCAUUCUCAGCGACAUCAGCACUGUCUUUCCCAACUUCUUCUUAUUUCUCCUCUCCCUCCUCACCACUAUCAGCGUUUUUCUCCUCUUCCUCCUUACCACUAUCAGCGCUGUCACCUCCUCCAGCGCCAGUUCCAGUUCCAGCGGCAGCAACAGCAGCAGCUGCAGAAGCACCGGUGAAAUCAGCAGCAGCAACAGUAAAGGCAGCGGCAGCAGCAGCAACAGUGCAUCAUUCGUUCAUUUAGUUUUACCAUCAGAUGCGUUGCAAACUCGACGUUACAUUCUGGCCAACCGCGGACAAUAUCACUGGCGUUCGCCCCAGCCCCUCAGUAAAGAAUCGUCACUGAUGUCAGUCACAUUGUAGGAGAGCCAGUGUUGGUGGCAGCGGUAGUAGUGGCAGUAGCAGAAGAAGAAGAAGAAGAAGAAGAAGAAGAAGAAGAGGGGGAAGAAAAGGAAGAAGAAGAAGAGGAAGAAGAAGAAGAGGGGGAAGAAAAGGAAGAAGAAGAAGAAGAGAAGAGGAAGAGGAAGAGGGGGAAGAAAAGGAAGAAGAAGAAGAAGAAGAAGAAGAAGAGGAGAAGAAGAAGAAGAAGAAGGAGAAGAAGGAGAAGAAGAAGAGGAGAAGAAGAAGAAGAAGAAGAAAGAAGAAGAAGAAGGAGAAGAAGAAGGAGAAGAAGAAGAGGGGAAGAGGAGGAGGGAGAAGAAGAAGAAGAAGAAGAAGAAGAAGAGGAAGAAAAGGAAGAAGAAGAGGGGGAGGAAGAAGAAGAAGUAGAGGGGAGGAAGAAGAAGAAGAAGAAGAAGAAGAAGAAGAAGAAGAAGAAGAAGAAGAAGAGGAGGAGAAGAAGAGGGGGAGGAGGUAGAAGAAGAAGAAAUGGCACAAACGAAGGUAGGAGAAAUGAGUAGAGCAAUAUUUGAGGGAGAGGAGAGGAAAACAACAAACACAACAAUAACAACAACUACAACAACAAUAAUAGUUGCUUCUAUCAUAGGCACCAGGAUGGGGAGAAUUAGCUGAUAUUAUCAAUGUCGGUUCUUGACUGAUCCUAAUCAAUCCCAAUCAAUCCUGAUUAUAUUGGCCCCUGUAUUCAAUUGAUACAUAUUGAUCCCAAAACGAUGAAAGGCAAAGUUGACCUUGCCAAGAUUUGAACUCAGAAAGGAAAAAAAAGCCAGAAGAAAUAUCACAAGGCAUAUUUUUUUUGGUUUGUUUUUUUUUUUGAUGUUCUAAAGAUAUUAUUGCCAGUCCACAGACUUGAUGAUGAUGAUGAUGGUGAUGAUGAUGAUGGUGGUGGUGGUGAUGAUGAUUGUGAUGAUGAUGACAAUGAUGAUGAUAAUGAUGAUGGUGGUGGUGGUGGUGCUGAUGGUGGUGGUGCUGAUGAUGAUUGUGAUGCUGAUGACGACAACAUCGAGGAUGAUGACAAUGAUGAUGAUAAUAAGGAUGAUGAUGAUGAUGAUGAUGUGGUGGUGGGGGUGGGGGUGGUAGCAGUGGUGGUUGUGAUGAUGACGACGAUGGUGAUGAUGAUGAAGUGAUGACAACGAUAAUGAUGAUAAGGAUGAUGAUGAUGAUGAUGAUUAUAGUUCUUUUGCUAUAUUUUUUGCAAGGGUCCAUUUACACAUAUAAUAAUGAUAACAAUGAUAACAAUAACAAUAAUAAUAAUAUAAUAAUAAUAAUAAUAAUAAUAAUAAUAAUAAUAAAAAUAAUAAUAAUAAUAAUGAUGAUGAUAAUGAUGAUGAUGAUAAUAAUAAUAAUAAUAAUAAUAAUAAUAAUAAUAAUGAUGAUGAUAAUAAUAAUAAUAAUAAUAAUAAUAAUAAUAAUGAUGAUGAUAAUGAUAAUAAUAAUAAUAAUAAUAAUAAUAAUAAUAAUAAAACAUGUUGUAAAAUAUGUGGAGAUGAGAUGAAUUAAACAAAGUUACAGCAGAAUAAAAAUGAUGAAUUGAAGUGGAAGCGUAGAUGCUACACAAUGUAUUGAGACCAGUUAAUUUUCUUUCUAUAUUAUUUGUUUAUUUAAAUUACAUAAAAAUAAUUAAAUAAAUGAAUAAAAAAAAACAAAGAUAUAAACAAAGGAAACACAACCAUCUGGAUGAGAGUGUGAGAGUGUGAAAAUAAGAAAACUAAGCAGUCUACAAUUCAAAUUCUCUGAUAGAUGAUGAUGAUGAUAAUGAUGAUGAGGAUGAUGAUAAUGAUGGUGAUGCUGCUGCUGAUGUUGUUGUUGUUGUUGUUAACAUUAUCUUAAGGUGUUGUACUGGCAGAAUGCAUAGCUGCAUUUCUUCUAGCUUUGCAUUCUGAGUUCAAAUUCCACCGAGGUCUACUUUGCCUUUUAUCCUUUUUUUGGGGGGGGGUCGAUAGAAUAAGUACCUGUUGAAUACCAGGGUCGAUGUAAUCAACUUAUCCUUUUCCCCUGAAAUUUCUGGCAUUGUGCCGAAAAUUUGAAAUCAUUAUCAUUAUCAUUAUGAUUAUCGAGGCGGCGAUUUGGCGGGAUUGUUAGCAUGCCAGGCAGCUUGCUUAGUGGCAUUUAGUCUGAGUUCAAAUUCCACCAUGGUCAACUUUGCCUUUCAUCCUUCUAGGGUCAAUGAAAAAUGUACCAGUUACACACUAGGGUCAAUGUAAUCAACUAGCCCCUUUCCCCACAAUUUCAGGCCUUGUGCCUAUAGCAGAAAGAAUUAUUAUUAUUAUUGUUAUCAUUAUUGUUAUUAUUAUUAUUAUUAUUAUUAUCAUUAUUAUUAUUAUUAUUAUUAUAGGUGCAGGGCUGUGUGGUAAGUAGCUUACUUACCAACCACAUGGUUCCGGGUUCAUUCCCACUGUGUGGAACCUUGGGCAAGUGUCUUCUCCUAUAGCCUCGGGUCAACCAAAGCCUUGUGAGUGGAUUUGGUAGACGGAAACUGAAAGAAGCCUGUCGUAUAUAUGUAUAUAUAUAUAUAUAUAUAUAUAUAUAUAUAUAUGUAUGUAUGUGUGUGUAUAUGUUUGUCCCCCCAACAUCGCUAUUAUUCCGCAGUCUUAUUUUUUUAUCACAUGCUUUCACUGCACUACCGAGUGCAGCUCUGUGUGCUUUGGGUAUCUACUAUAGUUUGUUAUUAUUAUUAUUAUUAUUAUUAUUACUAUUAUUAUUAUUGUUGUUAUUGAGUUGGUGAGCUGGUAGAAUCGUUAGCAUGCCAGGUGAAAUGCUUAACAGUAUUUCGUUCGUUUUUAUGUAGUGAGUUCAAAUUCCACAGAGGUUGACUUUGCCUUUCAUCCUUCCGGGGUCAAUAAAAUUAGUACCAGUUAUGCACUGAGGUUGAUGUAAUCAACUUAAUCCCAUUCCCCACAAUUUCAAGCCUUGUGCCUUUAGUAGAAAGGAUUCAGCAUUCUGAGUUCAAAUCUCACUGAAGUCAACUUCACCUUUCUUCCCCCCAGGGCAACAAAAUAAAAUACCAGUCAAAUUCUAGGGAUCAAUUGUAUCAACUAACCCUUUAUUUCUUUAUUGCCCACAAGAGGCUAAACAUAGAGAGGACCAACAAGGACAGACAAAGGGAUUAAGUCGAUUACAUCGACCCCAGUGUGUAACUGGUAGUUAUUUAAUCGACACCGAAAGGAUAAAAGGCAAAGUCAACCCCGGCAGAAUUUGAACUCAGAACGUAGCAGCAGACGAAAUACCGCGGGGUAUUUCACCCAGCGUGCUAACGUUUCUGCCAGCUCGCUGCCUUAAAACUCGUAUCAACUAACCCCUACCCUUCAAAAUUUCAAAAUUACUGGCCAUUUCCCUAAAUCAGAAAUCAUUGUUAUUAUUUUUAAUGAUGAUGAUAAUGAUGCUGCUGAUGAUGAUGACUAUCAGUGGUGUUGAUAAUGGUGAUAUUAUAAUGACAAUAAUUGACAACAACAACAGCAACAAUCCUUUCUAUUAUAGGCACAAGAUCUGGAAUUUGGAGGAGGAGGAUAGUCGAUUAUAUUGACCCCUGAAUGGAUGGAAGGCAAAGUUAACCUAGGUGGAAUUUGAACUCAGUACAUAGCGAGAGAUGCUAAUGAUUCUUCCAUCUCACUGCUGUAACAAUAAUAAUAAUCCUUUCUACAGGAAGCACAAGGCCUCAAAUUUGGGGGAAGGGAUUAAAUUGAUUACAUGGACCCCUGUGUGUGACUGGUAUCAAUUUUAUCGACCCCGAAAGGACGAAAGGCAAAGUGGACCUCAGGGGAAUUUGAACUCAGAACAUAAUAAAAUACUGCUAAGAAUCUCACCUGGCGUGCUAACGAUUCCGCCAGCUCGCCACCUUAACAAUAAUAAUAAUAACAAUAGCAAAGUUGAUAAUAAUAAAGAUGCUAGCCACAAUGACAACAACAACAGCAACAAGGAGAAGAGGGAGGAUUAUAAUGACAACAUGGAGGAUUAUGUUGACAAUGACAACAGUAAUGAUUGACAUCAAUAGUGAUGAUGAUGAUGAUGAUGACAACGAAAACAAUGACUAUGACCAAUGAUGUUGAUGAUGAUGAUGGUGGUAGUGGUGGUGGUGGUGACAAUGAUGAUGCUGGUGAUGAGGGUGGUGGUGGUUACAAUGAUGAUGAUGGUGGUGGUGGUGGUGGUGGUGACAAUGAUGAUGAUGACGAUGAUGAUGAUGAUGAUGAUGAUGAUGAUGAUGAUGAUGAUGGUGAUGAUGGUGGUUGUGGUGACAAUGAUGAUGGUGGUGAUGAUGGUGGUAGUGGUUAAAAUGAUGAUGAUGAUGGUGGUGGUGACAAUGAUGAUGUUGGUGAUGAGGGUGGUGGUGGUUACAAUGAUGAUGGUGGUGGUGGUUACAAUGAUGAUGAUGGUGGUGGUGGUGGUAGUGAUGAUGACGAUGAUGAUGAUAAUGAUGAUGAUGACGAUGAUGAUGAUAAUGAUGAUGAUGAUAAUGAUGAUGAUGAUGAUGACGAUGAUGAUAAUGAUGAUGAUGAUGAUGAUAAUGAUGAUGGUGAUGGUGAUGAUGGUGGUGGUAGUGACAAUGAUGAUGAUGGUGAUGAUGGUGGUGGUGGUGGUGACAAUGAUGAUGAUGGUGAUGGUGAUGACAGUGAUGAGAAUCUUCCUCAUCAACAUUAUUGACUUGUGUUCAAUUCUUUGUACGAAAUAAAACAGCAUGAAGAGAAGCAGAGGAGUUCGAAAAUAAGGUACGGGGGUGGGGUGGGUGAAAAGAAAACAAAGGAAAAAGGAGACAGGGAGAAGAAAAAUUUCAUUUCAGAAAGGUGAAAGAUGAGAAGAGUGGUGAGGAGGGAGGGGUAGUAAGAAUGUGGUGUUCAAAUGAGCAUAGGUAAGAAGGAAUGGGUGGGGGGGGUUGGAGCAAUGGGGUAUAAUGAUGAGAUAACUAGGAAGGAAACAGAUUAAAAAGGAAAGCUGGAGGUAAGAUGAGAAAGAUAAAAUGAGAAUGGAUUUAUCGCAAGGUAAAAGGGAUUUUGGGAAAGGUGUGAAAGAAACAGGUAUUUGGUAAUGGGGGCAGGGAGGAGAAAAGAUUUUGAGAGAGUGAGGGGAGAAGUGUAAAGAACGAGUGGCGAUGGGGGGGUUGUAAAAUGGGGAGAAGGGGAAGAAUUUAAGGUGAGAGGGGAAAAGAAGGGGAUUCAGAAAAGGGUAAAUGUAGUAGAUAUUGUGAGAAGAGGGGGUAUUUUGGAAGGAAUGAAGAAAGAAACAAGGGGUUCCAGAUAGAGUGAGAGAAGAAAGUAGCUUGAAGUCAAGGAUGGAAGGAUAUUUGGAAAAGAGUGAGAGAGAUGGGAUUUGAUAUAGAAUUAGCUGGAGAUAAUAUAUUAAAUACAGGGAAGAAGCAAGAGAGGAAGAGUUGGUAGAAGUGCUGGGUCGUGGUGGGAUUAAAAGAAAAGAGAAUCAGGUGAGAAAUGGUAGGGAAGAGAGAAGCUUAGAUGAAGUUUGCACCUUCUGGAUUUCUGCAUUUAUUAACACUGAUAUACAAACUUGCAUGUAGAACAUAUUAGGGAAGUUUGAAUACAGAAAUAAGGGACACCUAUGAGACUACUCUUUUAUAUGUUUCAGUUACUUCACUGUGGCCAUGCUGGAGCACCACCUUAAACGGUUUUAGUCAAAGAAAUUGACCUCAGGACUUAUUCUGUCGGUCUCUUUUGCCAAACCACUAUGUUACAUUGGUUGUCAAGUCAUAUAUAUAUAUACACACACACACAUAUAUAUGCAUACAUAUAUAUAUAUAUAUAUAUAUAUAUAUAUACUCUUUACUCUUUUACUUGUUUCAGUCAGCUGACUGCGGCCAUGCUGGAGCACUGCUUUUAGUUGAGCAACUCGACCCCAGGACUUAUUCUUUGUAAGCCCAGUACUUAUUCUAUCGGUCUCUUUUGCCGAACCGUUAUGUGACGGGGACAUAAACACACCAGCAUCGGUUGUCAAGCAAUGCUAGGAGGACAAACACAGACACACAAACAUACAUGCACACAUAUACAUAUAUACGACGGGCUUCUUUCAGUUUCCGUCUUCCAAAUCCACUCACAAGGCUUUGGUCGGCCCGAGGCUAUAGUAGAAGACACUUGCCCAAGGUGCCAUGCAGUGGGACUGAACCCGGAACCAUGUGGUUGGUAAGCAUGCUACUUACGACACAGCAACUCCUGUGCCUAUAUAUAUAUAUAUAUAUAUAUAUAUAUAUAUAUAUAUACAUAUACAUAUAUACAUAUAUAUACAUAUAUACACAUUUACAUAUAUACACAUAUAUAUAUAUAUUUAUAUAUAUAUUUUUAUAUAAAUAUAUAUAUAUAUAAGCGAAGGCACAUGGCUCAGUGGUAAGAGCGUCAAGCUUACGAUCAUGAGGUUGUGAGUUCAAUUCCCGGACUGGGCUGUGUGUUGUGUUCUUUACUUCACGUUGCUCCAAUUAACUCAGCUGUAGAAAUGAGUUGCAACAUCACUAGUGCCAAGCUGUAUCAGCCUUUGCCUUUCCCUUGGAUAACAUCAGUGGUGUGGAGAGGGGAGGUUGGCAUGCAUGGGCGACUGCUGACCUUCCACAAACAACCUUGCCUGGACUUGUACCUCGGAGGGUAACUUUUUAGGUGCAAUCCCAAUGGUCAUUCAUAACCGAAGAGGGUCUCCACAUAUUUAUAUAUAUUGGGUUGAUGCAUAAUUACUGCAGCUUUUUUUCAAACAAAUUUUAUUGAACAAAUACAAUAACAAUAUUUAACAAAAACAUCUUUAAAUGACGGUCUGACCAUCUACCAAGUAAAUGGGAAGCAGUAAUUGAAGUAGAUGGUGAAUAUACAGACACACACACAUAUAUUUACAUACAUAUAUAUGUGUUACUGUGUAUGUGUGUGAGCAUAUAUUUGUAAAUAUAUGUAUAUGUAUUCAAGUAUAUAUAUGUGUAUAUGUGUGUAGUUAUACAUGUGUGUUGUAUCAGUGGAGUCAUUGGUGUUCCAAGUGUUAUGUAUAUAUAGUUACACACACACACAUACUUGAUCUCUGCUUCACAAACAAUAUGGAUUUCUUCCAUAAUGUAAAAGUGACAUUGGUGCUAGUCUCAGAUCACAAUAUAAUAGAGCUGAUCUUGUUUGAUCCAGAGGAAUCCACACAAAUGCAGCCUAUGAGCAGCACCCAAAAUCUAUCCAAUAUGAUUUUCCAUAAAACAGGACUGGAAAUUGAUUUGGAAAGAGAUCGUCAAACAGGAUUGGCCUCAAUACAUCUCCACAUUUGACAUCGAUAUGAAACUUUAAGAAUUCACAUCCGUAAUGCAAGCAUGCAAGCCAUAGGCAAUAAAUUUUUUCUAGAGAGAAAGGCCACACUACAUAUAAGAAAAAUAUUCCCAAAGAGAGGAAAGUUCUUAUACGAUGGUACACAAAGAUUGCAAACUGCCUAAGCAGAAUACGCAAUGGCAGUAUAUCUCAAAACAACAAUGCUGGAGAUAGAGGAAAAGUUGAAAUGCUCUCAUGAAAAUUAGACAGUAGGCAAAGAAGCCUGAGUUAUAAAAAAUUUUAAAAUAAACCCUAAAACCUUUUUUUAAGUUUGGCAAAGAAACUAUAUAAGAGUAUUGCAGGGAAGGGUCACUCCUCCCAAACGAUGCCACCAUCAUGGGAAACACUAAAUGAUCAAUUCAAAAGUAUUUUCACAGCACCCUUAAGGCACAUGCAAUUCAGCAAACCUGUAGAGCUCUUUACCAUUACAGAUAUACAAAGGGAGGCAGUAACAAUUGAUCACAUUGAUAUAAAAGAAGAUGUAAUAAUAGCUAUAGAUGAGAUAAACCUGAACUCAGUUACUAGCCCUGAUGGUUUCCCAGCAAUCCAUCUAAAAUCAUGUGAACAAGCCCAAGCAAGCCUACAGUUGUCUCUCUUCCAGAGUUUCCUUGCAGGCAAUUUGAAAGAAUGAAUAAUAUGCCCUACUCCUAAAAGAUGUAGUAGAACAGAUGCCGAAAACUAUAUGCCCUUCUCUCUAACCUCACAUAUCAGUAAAGUCAUGGAUCAGAUAGUCCACAGGUAACUAAUCAUGUUUUCUAUGAAAAUGACUUGCUGAUGGACACCUAGGACAGUUUCUGUCCUGUAAGAAGCUGCCUGACACAACUCCUACAACACAAUGACUGGGUGUUGAAACAGCUGCUUAAAUAUGGAUGAGAUAUAUCUCGCCGAUAUGAAGGCCUUAAUAAAGUUGAUCAUAGAAUAUGUCACAAACUGCAUGACCUCAGUAUAGUUGGAAAGUUAGGAGAGUGGCUAGCUAAAAGGUAGAAUCAGGCAGCAGUGGCCAAUGGAGCCACCUCCAAGAAAAUGCAAAUAAUGAGUGGUAUCCCACAGGGUAUUGUCUUGGGGUCACAACUGUUUGAAGUGGCCCUCUCAAAUAUGCCCUCAUCCACACAGAGAUCUAAGAUCAUAAGCUGUGCUGAUGACACAAAUGUCUCACAGGUAAUACAAAACUAAUUUAAUAAGUGCCAACACAGUGGCCGAGGCAUACCAGUCUCCCUUCUCCAUGCCACUGAUAUUGUCCAAGGGAAAGGUAAAGGCUGAUAUAACUUGGCACCAGUGGCAUUGCAACUCAUUUCUAUAGCUGUGUGAACUGGAGCAACAUGAAAUAAAGUUUGUUCCUCAAGAACACAACACACAGCCUGGUCUGGGAAUCAAACUCACAGCCUCUCGAUUGUAAGCCCUAUGCUCUAACCACAGAGCCAUAUACCUUACAUACAUACAUACAUAUAUUACCACUUUUUUUUUUUGUAACAUUAUAUAUAUGUACACACAUAUAUAUAUAUCAUCGUUUAACAUCCAUGGUAGAAUUGUUAGCAUGCUAGACAAAUGAUUCACAGCAUUUCUUCCAGUUUCACAUUUUGAGCUCAAAUUCCACUGUGGUCAACUUUGGCUUUCAUACUUCCAGAGUAGACAAAAAUAAGUACCAGUCAAACACUAGGGACAAUGAAAUUGACUAAUCAUCUCCCAACCAAAACUUCAGGCUUUGAGCCUAUGGCAAAAAGGAUUAUUAAAAGUCCACAUUUUAAAAUCAUAUCUUCAAAAAGUUACUCUCUCUCCUCUUUUACUCUUUUACUUGUUUCAGUCAUUUGACUGUGGCCAUGCUGGAGUACCGCCUUUAGUCAAGCAAAUCGACCCCAGGACUUAUUCUUUGUAAGCCAAACCGCUAAGUUACAAGGACGUAAAUACACCAGCAUCGGUUGUCAAGCGAUGUUGGAGGGACAAACACAGACACAUAAACAUAUACACACACACACAUAUAUACGACAGGCUUCUUUCAGUUUCUGUCUACCAAAUCCACUCACAAGGCUUUGGUCAGCCCAAAGCUAUAGUAGAAGACACUUGCCCAUGUUUCUACACAGUGGGACCGAACCCGGAACCAUGUGGUUGGUAAGCAAGCUACUUACCACAUAGCCACUCAUAUGCCUAUAGUUAGUAUACAUUUUUAAAUAAUAUAAAAGAUUGAAAAUAAUAAAAUACAUUCAUUGUUUCAGAUUUGAAUUCUUUUUUUUUUAUUUAUAAAACAUUCAGGUUCUUUGCACUAUAAACUUGUUAGUUAAUUUUUGUAAUGUCUGAAUAUAUUUCAUACUUGUAAUAAAUUUCUUGAUUAAUUCACUGAACAUAUGUGAAAAAUUUUAAUGAUUUUAAGCAUGAGAAAAUUAAAUAUUGCAUUAUAUUCUAUCUGUUCACGUCCGUUGCCAGCCUCGGCUGGCCCCGUGCCGGUGACACGUAAAAGCACCAUCCGUCCGUGUCCGUUGCCAGCCUCGGCUGACCCCCGUGCCGGUGACACGUAAAAGCACCGUCCGCUCGUGGCCGUUUGCCAGCUCUGUCUGGCAACCGUGUCGGUGGCACGUAAAAGCACCAUCCGUUCACGUCUGUUGCCAGCCUCGGCUGGCAUCCGUGCCGGUGACACGUAAAAGCACCGUCCGUUCGUGGCCGGUUGCCAGCUCUGUCUGGCCCCGUGUCGGUGGCACGUAAAAGCACCAUCCGUUCGUGUCCGUUGCCAGCAUCGCCUGGCCCUGUGCCGGUGACACGUAAAAGCACCAUCCGUUCGUGGCCAUUCGCCAGCUCUGUCUGGCACCUGUGCAAGUGGCACGUAAAAAACACCCACUACACUCGCGGAGUGGUUGGCGUUAGGAAGGGCAUCCAGCCGUAGAAACACUGCCAGAUCUGACUGGGCCUGACGAAGCCUUCCAGCUUCACAGACCCCAGUUGACCCGUCCAACCCAUGCUAGCAUGGAAAACGGACGCUAAACGAUGAUGAUGAUGAUGAUGAUACUAUGGUAUUUAAAACAGUAUACUUAUUUUCAAAUGUAUGAUUUUUUUUUAAAUGAGAAAUUUUAAUGAUGACAGUAUACCAACAGCAUUCCAGUAUAUUUUGUUAGAGAUACUGUAGCAAAAGUUUUGAUACAGAUACAGGUAGAACACAGUAGGUAAACAUGAUGUUAGCAAUAUAUGUAAAUUACAGGCCUCUCAUUCGCAAUAUUUGUGGUCCAAUCUCAUUUCAAUACCUCAUAAGUGUUCUGUAAUAAAUAUACAUGUAAAGUGUACCAAAGAAGACACUGCUUGGAUUGUUCCACAGACUGGAACAAUACUUUAGGAGAGUUUGCAGCCUUACAAUUUCUUGGUGUGAUGAGGAAGUUCUAUGCCAUAAUUUUUGUGUCUGUUCACCAUCCAAUCUUCAAUUACUUUAGCAAAACCACUAAUGAAAGCAUGACAAAUGACAUCAAACACAAUAAAAGUUUUUAAAAAAAAGACACGUCUACAGUUUACCUCUGCCACAUACAAUUAAGCACUGAUCUUCAUUGAAAAUAAAUUGAAAAUGACCAUGGCUGGAAGAAUUCUGAACUUCAAGAACUGUCAGCUCCAGUAAGAACUGUAGCUGCAACUUUCAGUUGAGAAAUUCUUUAGGUAAAUAAAACCAGAACCCUUGUGCCAGCUUUAAUUGAGCAGAUCUGUGAACAGUAAUGUAUUCCAGCUGUAACUAUCCAAUCUUUAUUUCUUGCUAGUAUUUGUGUAACCUGGACUACAUUAUCAACUGUGUCCAUCAAGUUUGUAAGAUGAUAGGGUGUGAUCUGAGGGACAUUUAGCUGAUUUUUCUAGCAAAUCAAGUGACUCCCUCCCCAUUGAGGCUACCUAGUUUUCUUGUGAAGUUAUUGUUGUAGGCUAACUUGUUGAUCAGGGACAUCUGAUCAGGGUUAAUCUUAAGUUAACCUUGAUCAAAUAAAGGUCAAAAAUAUUUGUUCACAGGCAUAGGAGUGGUUGGGUGGUAAGUAGCUUGCUUACCAACCACAUGGUUCCGGGUUCAGUCCCACUGUGUGGCACCUUGGUCAGGUGUCUUCUACUAUAGCCUCAGGCCGACCAAAGCCUUGUGAGUGGAUUUGGUAGACGGAAACUAAAAGAAGCCUACUGUAUAUAUGUAUAUGUAUAUAUAUAUAUAUAUAUAUAUAUAUAUACACACACACACAUGCAAAGGAAACUGAUAGAAUAAGUACUAGGCUUACAAAGAAUAAGUCCUGGUGGGUGAUAUGCUCAACUAAAGGCGGUGCUCCAGCAUGGCCACAGUCAAAUGACUGAAACGAAUAAUCCAAAUCUUGCAUGAGAUUGUCUGAGAGACAAAAUGGUGUUGAACAUUUACCAUUUUACAUUCUGUAGCCCUAGGCUCUUAAAGUAGUGGAAUAAAAGCCCCUUAUUUAUAAAAGAGAAAAGUGCAGGUAACAGGAAGAGCAUCCAUCUGGCUACACAAAAAAAAAAAAAUGCCUCAAAUAAAAAAAAACCCAGCCCAACCUUUGUAAAAUUUAGUCAUAAAGCAAAUUACUGAACUGAGUUAAUAUAUUAAAGUUUGUCUUCU